GACGUCGCAGCCCCAGCUACACUGCGCAUGCGUCACACCCCACAGCCGUGUCCAAGCCUUCCUUUAACGAGCCCAUGGAUGGGAAAAAGCCUUGAGUCUCAUGUGUCAUGAGCCCAGCCCAAUGAGACUGUGGACGGUCGUGGAAGCGAUGGGGCCUACAGUCGAAUCUGCCCACAGAAGAAGUCUGCCAAGCUUCAUUCAAUCAUUGAGACACACAGAUAAGUACACACUUUUUGCUCUAUACCUGGUAGAAAUAGUCGUGGACUCGCACACACAAAACACACACAAUCUCCCGGAUAGAAAGUAUUUGUGCAGGGUGACAAACAGACUAACAGAAGGUGGACAAACGCGUAAAAUGCAUGAAUGCAAAAGAUAUGAAUAAUAUUCAACCCCACCGAGCUCCCAUGUGCACUUUUAUUCAAUCUAGUAGCAGAGUAGUUUCCAUUAAGGCUCUCCUACAAAAUCAGGGUCUUGAAAAUGUAGGACAGGAACACACAUGGUUCCCCCUGGCUAAAUCAAUAUGCUCUACAGGCAUGGACGGAGUAGUGAAGGGGGCUAUAAUUCUUGUUGGGAAGUCACAAAAGGACAUAAAAGGACCACAAAGUGACGCAAAACUAUCAUAAAGAGACGUUGAACAACCA